rnacentral:lncRNA from 1 species
GGUCACAUCCCAAAUUCCCAGGGAAGGACUCUGAUUGGUCCAAUUUGGCUCCAAGGCCAUCUUUGGACCAAUCAGCUGUGACCAGGAAGCAGAAUCGUUGGAUGUAAAUAUGUCUGUUCUCAUUUAUCUAUGUAAUAGAGGGGAUGAGAGGAAAGGUCCAGUAUCCUGGUAGCUGGGGAAGCUAAUCACAUAAAACAAGUUUUUUUACGCAUUUUUUUCCCUACGAAUUUCUAGAAACUUUAAAAGGAAAGAUUGGAGAAGAAGAGGGGCAUGAGCCAAGUAAGCUCUGGGGGAGCUUCGGAAUUAACCAGCUCCCCCACAUUACUGAUGAGCUUCUUCCAGCUAAUGGAAUAAUGAAAACACAAAACAGAUUUACCGUUCUUAAUAAGAGAGAGAGAUAAUGAAGGCAAAUUAAAAUGGAAGCUCAGAUCUGCGUGGAGAACAGCUCGCUGCCAUGCAUGUGGCUCAAAGACAAAGGAAAGCGCUUAAUAAAAAAAAGCAAAAAAUUACCUGAGUUUGUGGACCAAGAAUAAGCCAAGAACAACACUGGGUGAGUAAGGAAAGGGGCCAGCGUGGAGGGUGGCACAGAGCAUGUGCUGGUCAAUGUUAGCUCCUU